GAUGAACGCUGGCGGCGUGCCUAAUACAUGCAAGUCGAGCGAAUGGAUUAAGAGCUUGCUCUUAUGAAGUUAGCGGCGGACGGGUGAGUAACACGUGGGUAACCUGCCCAUAAGACUGGGAUAACUCCGGGAAACCGGGGCUAAUACCGGAUAACAUUUUGAACCGCAUGGUUCGAAAUUGAAAGGCGGCUUCGGAUGGCACUUAUGGAUGGACCCGCGUGGGAUUAGCUAGUGGGGGAGGUAACGGCUCACCAAGGCAACGAUGCGUAGCCGACCUGGGCGGGGGAUCGGCCACACUGGGACCGAGACACGGCCCAGACUCCUACGGGAGGCAGCAGUAGGGAAUCUUCCGCAAUGGACGAAAGUCUGACGGAGCAACGCCGCGUGAGUGAUGAAGGCUUUCGGGUCGUAAAACUCUGUUGUUAGGGAAGAACAAGUGCUAGUUGAAUAAGCUGGCACCUUGACGGUACCUAACCAGAAAGCCACGGCUAACUACGUGCCAGCCGCCGCAGUAA
rnacentral:rRNA from 1 species